rnacentral:rRNA from 1 species
UACGGAGGGAGCUAGCGUUGUUCGGAAUUACUGGGCGUAAUGCGCACGUAGGCGGCUUUGUAAGUUAGAGGUGAAAGCCCGGGGCUCAACUCCGGAACUGCCUUUAAGACUGCAUCGCUUGAAUCCAGGAGAGGUGAGUGGAAUUCCGAGUGUAGAGGUGAAAUUCGUAGAUAUUCGCAAGAACACCAGUGGCGAAGGCGGCUUACUGGUCCGGUUCUGACGCUGAGGCGCGAAAGCGUGGGGAGCAAACAGG